AUAAUGUUGCACUUAUAACUCUCCAGGAGCUUGAUGAUGGAAAAGUUCUUCUCCGGUUAGCACAUUUAUAUCAGAUUGGAGAGGACAAGGAUCUUUCUGUGAUGACAAGCGUAGAACUGAAGAAGUUAUUUCAUGGCAAGAAGAUUCACAAAGUGGCAGAAAUGAGCUUAUCUGCCAAUCAACGAAGAACAGAGAUGGAAAAGAAGAGACUCGUCUGGAAAGCUGAAGGCUUAGAAAGACAAGAAGCAGUGGCAAGGGGCGGACCAGUUGAUCCUGCAGAACUGGUGGUGGAACUUGCCCCGAUGGAAAUCCGCACCUUUGUUAUUGAUUUUGAUCACACAUCCCACCAUGUAUUUAAUGUCUAAUGACAAUGACAUGUUCCUGAGGAAGUUCUUGCUAAUUUGGGCGUGCAUUGUGCUUCAGAUCUCAGAUAUUAUUUUGAUAUGAUAUCUAUACUCUUGCGCCUUGGUCAUAGAGACAAGUUGCUUAUC
rnacentral:misc_RNA from 1 species